rnacentral:rRNA from 1 species
AGCGAACGCUGGCGGUAGGCCUAACACAUGCAAGUCGAACGGCAGCACAGUAAGAGCUUGCUCUUACGGGUGGCGAGUGGCGGACGGGUGAGGAAUACAUCGGAACCUACUUUUUCGUGUGGGUUAACGAAGGGAAACUUACGCUAAUACCGCAUACGACCUACGGGUGAAAGCAGGGGAUCGUCGGACCUUGCGCGAUUGAACGAGCCGAUGUGGGAUUAGCUAGUUGGCGGGGUAAGGGCCCACCAGGGCGAGGAUCCGUAGCUGGUGUGAGAGGAUGGUCGGCCGCACUGGAACGGGGACACGGUCCAGACUCCUGCGGGAGGCAGCAGUGGGGAAUAUUGGACAGUGGGCGCAAGCCUUAUCCAGCCAUACCACGUGGGUGGAGAAGGCGUUCGGGUUGUAAAGCCCUUUUGUUGGGAGAGAAAAGCAUCAGGUUAAUACCCCGCUGUUGUGACGGUACCCAAAGAAUAAGCACCGGCUAACUACGUG